GUAAGGAAUAUUGGUCAAUGGACGAAAGUCUGAACCAGCCAUGCCGCGUGAAGGAUGAAGGCCCUCUGGGUUGUAAACUUCUUUUAUCUGGGACGAAAAAAGGGUAUUCUUACUCACUUGACGGUACCAGAGGAAUAAGCACCGGCUAACUCCGUGCCAGCAGCCGCGGUAAUACGGAGGGUGCAAGCGUUAUCCGGAUUCACUGGGUUUAAAGGGUGCGUAGGUGGGUAUUUAAGUCAGUGGUGUAAUCUCCGAGCUUAACUCGGAAACUGCCAUUGAUACUAUUUACCUUGAAUGCCCUGGAGGUAAGCGGAAUAUGUCAUGUAGCGGUGAAAUGCUUAGAUAUGACAUAGAACACCAAUUGCGAAGGCAGCUUACUACGGGGUGAUUGACACUGAGGCACGAAAGCGUGGGGAGCAAACAGGAUUAGAUACCCUUGUAGUCC
rnacentral:rRNA from 1 species